GUGCUCACUUCAGUAGCGUAUACACUAAAAUUGGAAUGAUACAGAGAAGAUUAGGAUGACAUGCAAAUUUGUGAAGUAGUCCCCAUUUUU
rnacentral:snRNA from 1 species